UUCGCGCGAGUAAAACAAGUGAAAAAACGUUUAAAUUAGUGAAAAAGUGUAGUGUAGAAUAAGUGAAAUAGUAGUUUACAAUCACAGUAAGCUGAGGUAAGUGCAGUUCACACAAAAUACGUGAUUGUUUUUCGUUUAUCCGCAGCAUCAUGAUCGUGACGAAGUAUCUCUGGUCAUGGUUAUGGGAUAAGGCGGAGAUGGCGUAUGAACCAGGAGGAUGCCCACAAUUGCAUGCUGGACUUUGAUGAGGACGUGUCUUUCAUUGCCGUGUACGAUGGGCACGGUGGCGCGGAGUUGGCCUGCAUCUGCCGACCUUUCCGGGCUCGGUAACCCGUACGGGGGGAGAAAAACUUCGAGCAGGCACUCAAGGAUGCGCUUACAGCGAUGCUUGCCCUGAAGCAUGGACCGAAAAUUUUCAGCGAAAACUCCUUCCGUAAUGGCAUUCCACCGGUUAUCACGACAUCACCGAACGAAGAUCACACGUACUCGGCCAGUGGUACCAGUGGCGCGGGAUAACAAUCGGCUAUGGCCCUGGUCUCCAAUGGGGUGUGCCCUCUGCUGCUCGGAAAUGGUAGCAGCUGCUGCUCGUAAUCUACAGCGGCAUGCACACUACUGCCGCACCAUCCGCUUCAUCACCACCACCAUUCGAAUCAGCAUCACAAUGAUAACCUCAGUAACGGUACCGCUCAUCAGAUGAUGCUUACGAAAGCAGCGAAGAAAGCCACCAUCCACAUCAUACAUCGGUCGAGGAUAUGAAGGAACGGCGUCACCUGGAAGGUGUUUUCGCUCUGUUAAACCUCGCCCAGAUGAUCUAUUCUUUGCCGUCCUCCACGUCAACGCUCCUCCUGCCAGCCUCGUCGAACGGUUCGAUAAAGCGAUCGGCACUCCGAGCGGCUACUACUAUCAUCGCCCUCACCACCAUAAUCGGCAGUAACUCGUUGCCUCACCGGAUGAAGGGACAAUGCGGAUAACAAACGGUGCCGGCACUCUCCCACCCCAUCAUCCGCAUAACCUCGACACGGAGUACGGUGGCCCAGUACCACUGUCACUGCCAGGUAUGGGCAGCACGGUGACCCCAUACUGUGGUGGAGUCCUGCAUGUUGCUAGCAAAGGCUUCGUUCGAUUUGCUUGUCGGAGCUCAGCGUUAUACCUCGCCACGGCUAGCAAAGAAAACCCAAGUCCACACCGGAACGGGGCGCACGACAUCUGUGAGAUACGAAGGUAAUUUUUAUGGGUAAAUUAGUUUAAUUUAAUUGUAAUUAAAAAAAAUACUGAUU